AAUUUCAUUUGAAGUGGAAAUCCUUUUCUAUUUUUUCUUUAAAAAUAGAAAAGAUUGAAACGGAUAGCAGGAAAAAGC
rnacentral:sRNA from 1 species